CGCCCGCCAUCAUGCAAAGGAAAGUUUGUGGGCUGUUUAUGCAGUUAGCUGCUAUACACACUGAAGUAUCCUGAAACUAGCGACCACCUCAGCAAUAUUAUGAAUUUGUGCAACACAUUUUGUGUUUCACCACAUGAACCAGUAGAACGCGUUAUAUAUAAUAUGUUGACCAAGUAACAACUGUUGGAGGAGGAACUUGUGCGUUUGGUUAAUUGUUAGCAUUAGCAUUAACGUUGAAAGGGACCUAACGCGGACUGUUAUUCACACGAAACUGGAUUUGAAGGCGUCUGCGGUGACCAACAACUGGACUUUUUCCUUCUUUUCCUGCUUUAAUGGACGCAUUCAUCUCCAGAACCAGCAGCGGGUCACGCCACCGGGUCGAUGUGCCACCGGGCACUGAUCGAUGGAAACCUGAUCCCUGAACAGCACCGGGUCCAGCCUCAUCUGAGAGUGCACCAGGGGCAUGAAGCCCAGCCAGUGGCUGAAAGUGUUCAUGCAGGUCUGGCGCUGAGCAAAGUGGUCCGGGUCGGCCCACUGCGACGUCUUGGAGCCCUUGGUUGAAGAGAAGCAGAGACCAGACACGUGUUAGAGCAGCGCCGGCAGGCAACACGUUGUUAAUGACAGCAUCAGGGGGCCCUUCCACACACAGAAGGGGGCAGUGAUUCAUACUCCACUCAGACAAGGAGCAGCCCAGCAUCACUCCUGGUGGCCACACACCCGAUGUUGUCUGAUCUCCGACACCAGGAAGUUCAUCAGGAUGUCCUCACAAUUAGCCAUGUGGUCCACGGUAGUGAGCAGGCUGGCCGGCACCGAGUGGGUGAACAGUGUUACCGUUGACGUCCUAACAAUAGAACGGUGACAGAGCUGUUCAUCAGUGGGACAACGUGCUUCAGAUGUGUCUACACAACAGCAGUCUCACUUUGUGGCUCCUGCAACUUAAGUCUACUUUACUUUACUAUUUGACUUUGUAGAGUGUGACCUCAGCGCAUUAGGCAAUUACCUAAAUAAAAGCUCACACCUCUGCAGAUUCUGUGUGUGGCUGCUUUUCAACAUCACAACACACCUUGUUCUUGUUGUUUGCAGAAAAUACACAACCAGGAGUCUGUUUAACUCGUGUAAUGUGUAAGUGCUCCCAUCAGUCUGAAUGAUGCAUUUCACUAAUCAACGCUGUGUUCAUCACUAGUUGCAGCCUGUGCUUACAAACGUAUGAGGAGCCCAUGAUUACGUUGUAGAAUCUGAAACGCAGUGCACUAAAUAAACUACAAGCCUCUCAUUGUGUCUGUGGAAGUAAGAAGGAGCAGAAAUGCUCACGUGAAGCACAUGUACCUG